AGCUGAUCUACAACCCUCUGAAUGUAAAUUGGCCUCCAUGUGUUGCCAUAUAAAUAAGUCAUGUGUGUAUGAGCAUCAGUGAGAGGACAGACCAGCCCACAUCAGAUCAUCUUCAUCAUCAGUCAUGUUCUCUGCAGCUCUGAUUCUGCUGCUGAGCGCUGGAUCCUGUGUGCACUGUAUUGAUCUCAUCACACCAGGCUCAAUGGUCGUGCAGUCUGGACAGUCUCUGACCCUCACCUGUCAGGUCUCUGGUUACUCUCUGACUGAUGACAGCUAUGCAACAGGUUGGAUCAGACAGCGUGAAGGGAAACCGAUGGACUGGAUCUCUCAUCAGUGGGGUACAAGUGGACUCAGUCAAAAUAAUGCUCUGAAGAUCAAGUUCAGCUACAGCAGAGACACGUCUGCUGCAACAGUGACUCUAACAGGACAGAAUAUGCAGCCUGAAGACACUGCUGUGUAUUACUGUGCUAGAGUCCCACAGUGAGAGACAAUAACAGGA